CAGUAGCCACGGUAAAACGGAGGGGGCUAGCGUUGUUCGGAAUUACUGGGCGUAAAGCGCACGUAGGCGGCUUGGUAAGUUAGAGGUGAAAGCCUGGAGCUCAACUCCAGAAUUGCCUUUAAGACUGCCGAGCUAGCAGGUGAGAGAGGUAAGUGGAAUUCCGAGUGUAGAGGUGAAAUUCGUAGAUAUUCGGAAGAACACCAGUGGCGAAGGCGGCUUACUGGCUCAUACUGGACGCUGAGGUGCGAAAGCGUGGGGAGCAAACAGGAUUAGAUACCCCCGUAGUCCCUGUCUCUUAUAA
rnacentral:rRNA from 1 species